rnacentral:rRNA from 1 species
GACGAACGCUGGCGGCGUGCUUAACACAUGCAAGUCGAACGGAAAGGCCCUUCUUUUGUUGGGUGCUCGAGUAGCGAACGGGUGAGUAACACGUGAGUAACCUGCCCUUUACUUUGGGAUAACUGCAGGAAACUGGGGCUAAUACCGGAUAGGAGCUCCUGCUGCAUGGUGGGGGUUGGAAUGUUUGGGCGGUUGGGGAUGAACUGGCGGCUUACCAGCUUGUUGGUGGGGUAGUGGCUUACCAAGGCUUUGACGGGUAGCCGGCCUGAGAGGGUGACCGGCCAAAUUGGGACUGAGCUACGGCCCAGCCCCCUCCGGGAGGAAGCAGUGGGGAAUAUUGCACAAGGGGCGGAAGCCGGAUGAAGCAACGCCGCGUGCGGGAUGACGGCCUUCGGGUUGUAAACCGCUUUCGCCUGUGACGAAGCGUGAGUGACGGUAAUGGGUAAAGAAGCACCGGCUAACUACGUG